AGCAUUCAGAUUUUGAAGGAGUAGUGUGAAUACCCCAAUCAAAAUCUUGCCAGCGGCAUCUGGGUGGCUCAGUUAGUUAACUGACUAGAUCUCCCGCUCAGGUCAAGAUCUCAUAUUGUGAGUGAUUCUUUGAAAGUUUGACCCCCGUCCCCUCCGCAGAGCUCUGCACUGACAAUGUGGCUGACAGUGUGGAUCCUGCUUGGGAUUCUCUCUCUCUGUCUCUCUCUUUGCCCCUCUCCUGCUUGUGCAUGCACACAUGCGCUCGCUCACUCGCUCUCUCUCAAAAUAAAUAAACUUUAAAAAAAUCUUGGGAUACUUGGGUGGCUCAGUCAGUUGAGCAUCUGACUUCCGCUCAGGUCAUGAUCUCACAGCUCGUGAGUUCUAGCCCCACAUCGGGCUCUGUGCUGACAGCUAGGAGACUGGAGCCUGCUUCAGAUUCUGUGUCUGCCUCUCUCUCUGCCCUCCCCCAUUCAGACUCUGUCUCUCUCUCAAAAAUGAAUACACAUUAAAAAAAAUUUUUUUUUUUAAAUCUUGCCAUAUUAUUUUCAAGAGCAAAAGAGAGUUAUUUCUUUGGUAACUGAGUGAUAGGUAUCUCAUGGGUGAAAAAGUCUGCCAUUUCCACUACCUUGCUAAUAAUACAUUUCUUCUUGUCAUUGCCAGUUUUUUCUCAGGCUUAAAUUUCUUAUGUAAAUCUUAUUUUGGUGAUAAAAAAGUAUCUGAGCUAUACCACGAAGUCUUUAUCACUUCUGGGCUAUUUUCUCCCUAAUCUAGAAAUAGCAUUUGGGACAUGAUUUCUCAUUGCUUCUCCAACCCUCUUUCAGAAUUUAUACCCAGGCGAAAGCCAAUGCAACAGUAUAUUUAAUCACCCAGUAGUUAACAUGAAAACAUGUGGGUUGUUUUUUUUUCCUCGAAAGUAUUUUCUAGCUUCUUUAUAGUUGCGUGAAGCAAUGAGUAUCAACUAAAACUUGAUAAAUAUAAGGUGGUCGUAUAAAUUGCAACAGAAAUGGGUCAUCUUUCAGUUGAAACGAUUAGCUCUUGAGUCUAAAGCACUCUUAAAGUUGGAUGUGUUUCUGCUUGUUAUGAGUUGUCUGUGCAGCUGUCGUUUUGAUUUUAGGUCUGGGGAAAUGGUGUGUCUGACUUGGACUGACUUGUAAAUGUGAAAUCCGGUUUCCACUCCAUUGUGAAUAACUAUACAUGCUUUUUAUAGUGUUGUUUUCACUUCUGGUUUUAGUCUGCAACUCUCAGAUAAAUCUGUUUUCUACAGGACAUUCUUUAGGAUGAAGACAGCAGGAAACAAAUUUCUAUACUUGACUCUAAUUUUUUUUUUAAUUUUUUUUCAACGUUUAUUUAUUUUUGGGACAGAGAGAGACAGAGCAUGAACGGGGGAGGGGCAGAGAGAGAGGAAGAUACAGAAUCGGAAACAGGCUCCAGGCUCUGAGCCAUCAGCCCAGAGCCUGACGCGGGGCUCGAAUUCACGGACCGCGAGAUCGUGACCUGGCUGAAGUCGGACGCUUAACCGACUGCGCCACCCAGGCGCCCCUGACUCUAAUUUUUUAAAUAUAUUUUUUUAAUGUUUUAUGAAAUUUUUAAUUUCAAAUUUCUAUGGCUAGCAGGCCAUUAGAAUAGAUAACAAGAUUUAAAAACAAAAAAACAGACAUUGUGUAACUUCCGGUCCAAGAAAACUUUAUUUUCAGGGAAAAAAAAAAAAGUCCCUAACGCCUCAUUUCUCUCUCCUAAUAGCUUUUAAGGCUGUAAAAAAAAAAAAAGACUGUAAAAGGUAAAAUUUAAUCUGGUAACAGGGAGUCACUCACUGCGCUUACUUAAUAGGAGUCAUUUCAGAAUUUUCGUACGCUUUCUGUAUUCAUCAUUAUAUUCAUUUUAUUCAUUAUUAUCAUCUUAAAUGGGUGAGCAUUUCUUCACUGGAAAUUCAGAUGAAAGCUUUCUUUUUUCUUAGAACAAAGGGCAUUUCUUUAAAGGAAUUAGCACAAUGAAAGCAAAUUGCUGAUGGAACCCACUUUCUGCAUUCUAUUUCUGCAUGCUGUCUCCUAUUUAGAUUUCACUGUUUUGUUUUGUUUUGUUUUGUUUUAGUUUAUUUAAUGUUUUGCCAGUAUCAGUAGCUGAUAGACUGUAUGAGAUGGUUACUUGGCAAUUCUAACUCAAAGUGACAAUCAGUAUCAGAUAAUCAGGUUGAGCCAUACUCUCAGCCAAAACAGAAACCAUAAAUGAGUUUGUCAACGCAGAGCCCAUUUGUGGUUUGCUUUGAAAAGGGACAUUUGUCUACCAAGACCAUUGGCAAAAUUUCUAUUUAGAGGUGGUAGCAAGCUUUACUCUUUCUGAGGAGAUAAGAAACUCUAACCUUUUUCAAAGAAAGAGUUUAAUUCUUUGUUUUUUAAUCCUCAAUAAUCUUUCAUUCCUGACUGUGAUAUUGAAUCUUUCUGAUCAGUUGUAUGAAACCAUGUCUUCUAAAACAGAAAAAAUAUUUUAUUGCAUCUGUCUCAGAUGCCAUAUUUUAGGAUUGAAAUUGACAUUUUCUCUAUAGGACAGUUGAGGACACUGAACCAGAUAUCGGCUUUAUUGAAACAGUGCCAUGGUUGGCCUAACAGUCUGCUAUUGUUUGCAUAGGAUAGGAGAAUAUUCUUAAGUGAAUAAAACUUGAAGGUGGUCCCAUCAGAUAAUUCCUGUGAAGUACAGCAGUUCAUUAAAGAAGUUCUUUCAAUUCACACCACUGCACCUCGGGAACUUCUGCAGCUACAGAUGCCAGCAAUGUCGGCUGUGGGGAACAUGCCAGAGGGCAUUGAUGUAGAGACUAGAGUCAAACUUCAGGCACAUCUGCCCACCCCCAGCCAGCUCAAAGACUUUGAGUGCUAUCCAUGGCCUGAACCAGCAUUUCUCCAUCUAUCUUUCCUGGGACCACAAGUGGUAACACUGCCCCCUUCUCUCACCCCAGGCACAUAAUGGUACACACAUGAGUGUAUCUAUUUUUAUUUGUUUACUUACCUAUCUCUUUACUGGUUGGUUGGUUUGUUUACUUAUUUAUUUGAGGGUGUGAGCAGGGCCAGAGGGAGAAGGAGAAAAUCUUAAGCAGGCUCCAUGCUCAGCAGGAGCCAGACACAGGGCUUCAUCCCACGAUCCUGGGAUUGUGACCUGAGCCGAAAUCAAGAGUCAGAGGCUCAACAAACUGAGCCACCCAGGCACCCCUAUUCUAAUUUAUCUAGAAAGAAGGAAGGAAAAGGAAAAUUAAGCCACAAGUUCUAGGACUAUACUUUAUUAGUAAUAUUAAAUUACCAACCACACACCUCACAGCUUAUUGCAACCUUGAGGUGAAGAUAUUGUCCUUACUGCUGUGCAGUUGCUACAACUCUAGCAAUCUUUAAUCUGCACUUCUGAACUGACUCUCUUCCAUGUGUCUCCCCACCCCCUACAGAAACAUCAGGUCUACUACAUUCCCAAUUUAGCUCAUGCCUAAGGCACUGCUUUCUUCCCACCCCAAAUUCCCACUUCUUUCUGUCUACUAUACAAAGCCUUACAGGGUCUACCUCAGAGUCGAACCUUCCACAGAGCAUUUUCUCAUCACAGCAAUAUCUCCUUACUCAGAAUUCUUGUCACACAUUGUCAUCUAUAACACACGUUUUCCCUGUCUUUCUAACUAGACUACUGGAAGCAGAAUUUACUCUUACACAGGGAUUGGUUUAUUAUUAUAUUUUCAUUCAGUGGCAUACCAAUCACACUGCAAAUAAAAAUGGUGGCAGUUCAUUUAAAUUGUGAAGGGAUGGAUGGAUGUCGGCAUUUUUUAUCGGCAACAGAAAAUAUCUUAAAAAAAAAACAGGCCAUUAAUGAGUAUCUUGCCAAUUUAUUAGAGAGACGACAUUUUUAUGGGGCUGUGUACAUGAUUUUAACAUUUUGCAAGUAGAAAGAGCCUAUUUUCAGUUGUAAAAAGAAAGCCAACAAGAAUAGAAAUCAAGAUUUUUAAAAAGGUGACAAGGGGAAAAAAUGGUAUGUGAGACAUAUACGUACAAGCAACUUUCUGUAACAGGUCUGUUUUAAGAGAAGUGUACUUUCCUAGAAAGAGAUGUGUAGCCACGUUAUUGAAUCCAGUUACUGAAUCCAUCAUACUAAAUAUGACUCUACUUUGACCAUGGCCAACUUCAACAACAGAAAACCAGAAUCCCAAAAAAUGGCUUUCUCAUCUUUUUUUUUUUUUUUUUUUUUUAAUUAGGAGAACCUGUGAUCUUUCCAUUCACAUCAGAGAGGAAAGCAGAUUAACAAAGGGGUGUUUGCAACUCAAAGAAGCUCAGAAAUCAUGCAUUAUUUGGUUUCCUGGGUCAAACAUAACUGAUUAGAAUAACUCCCUUUCGGGGCACCUGGGUGCCUCAGUCUGUUGAGCAUCCAACUCUUAAUUUCGCCUCAGGCCACAAUCUUGAGAAUUUCUCUCUCCCUCUCUCUCUGCCCCACUCAUGCUUGCCCAUGCGUGUGGGCGCUCCCUCUCUCUCUCUCUCUCAAAAUAAAAAACAUUAAAAAAUAAAAAUAGCACCAUUUCCUUUAGUCACUCAUGGCUUUGUCUUGCAAUGAUAAAGUCACGAUUCAUUUGUAUACUAUGGACAUAUUUCCAUUAUUAUUUUCCAAAUCAUUCGUUGUCAGAAUUUCUGGGCAGAGUUAAUUCCCAGUUAUAAUGUACUUGUGAAUAAAAACUGCUGGAAAUUCCCAUUAUUUUCAGUGUGGAAAAAUGCCUGUAUAAAGUGUUGGGGGAAUUCUCAAGAAAAUGACAGAAUCCAUCCCUGGCUAGAACUCCCAAGAGCACAACUUCAGGAUCCCUCUCAAGAAAACUUUCCUGAGGCACCUGGAUGGCUCAGUAGGUUGAGCAUCCGACUUCAGCUCAGGUCAUGAUCUCAUGGUUCGUGACUUCAAGCCCCAUGUUGGGCUCUGUGCUGACAGCCCAGAGCCUGGAGUUUGCUUCGGAUUCUGUGUCUCCCUUUCUCUCUGCCCCUCCCCUGCUCUCGUUCUCUCUCUCUCUCUCUC